rnacentral:rRNA from 1 species
AAUAGAUACCCGGGUAGUCCACGCCGUAAACGUUGGAUACUAGGUGUGGCGGUUAUACCAAUGACUGCCGUGCCGAAGCUAACGCAUUAAGUAUCCCGCCUGGGGAGUACGGCCGCAAGGCUAAAACUCAAAGGAAUUGACGGGUCCCCGCACAAGCGGCGGAGCAUGCGGCUUAAUUCGAUGCAACCCGAAGAACCUUACCUGGGUUUGACAUCACGGGAAAAGCUGUAGAAAUACAGUGUCCAUUAGGGCCCGUGACAGGUGGUGCAUGGCUGUCGUCAGCUCGUGUCGUGAGAUGUUGGGUUAAGUCCCGCAACGAGCGCAACCCUUGUCCUAUGUUGCCAGCGGUUCGGCCGGGGACUCAUAGGAGACUGCCGGGGAUAACUCGGAGGAAGGUGAGGACGACGUCAAGUCAUCAUGCCCCUUAUAUCCAGGGCUGCACGCAUGCUACAAUGGCCGGUACAACGGGCAGCGACCCCGCGAGGGUGAGCGAAUCCUAAAAAGCCGGUCCUAGUUCGGAUUGAAGUCUGCAACUCGACUUC